CUUCACAUGUAGGAGAUGCCUACUGCCCUUUGCACACAAGAUAAGAAGUUCGUUUCAAUAUGUUUCCCACCCUCCAAGUGUUCAGCUACUCCCAGGGCCAGAGCUAGACUUCUUCCUUUUGGUCUUGUAAAGUGGGCCUGGAGUCAGAGGUGCCACAUGAUGCCUUUUACAUGCUGCAAUAUUAUCUUGGCUCCUAAGAUCACUCCCCAGAAGAGGCUGGAAUCCUGUUAAAGAUACAAAUGGGGACUUUUCUUCAAGCAGGAGCUGAAAUCCUCCAUGUCUCACUCCUCUGGGAAAGAUUCCUGCUGCUCAGAAAGAAAGCAAAGAUGGCAAUGUGACUGGGGACUCCCAACUCCACCUACUACUUCCACACGAAUGCUCGAUAUAAUCAUCUAUCUUAUGAACAGCAAAAGUUUUUCCAGAAAAAAUAAAAGAUGCCACUGAAAAAGCCUUCAGGAGCUCAGAAUAAGAAGUGAAAAGCUCACUUGCAAUCUAGUUUGCAACAAGGGGCAAAUUUGAUGGGAAAAUGUCUGAAACAGAACAACAUAGACUGGGCUUUAGGCAGCGAUUGUCCCAGUGCAUAAGAAAUUGAGGAGUGAAGCAUAAAUGAUGGAAGUCCUGUUACUAAGGAAUUAGAAGAUUUACUUGAAGAUAAGGAAUGGAAAUGUGAGAAAAAUGAUGGAGAAUCAUCCAGUUUUCCUGAAGGUAACAAAGGAGAAUGAUGAUAAAGAAGAAUGUGUCUCACAUGAAAAGGAGAGUAAUGACAAAGGAAAAUCUGGCUUACCUGAAAAGGAGAGAAACAAUAAAGAAGAACCAGGCUUGCAUGAUGACAGAAACAGCUUUGAGAAAAAUUGCUCACCACAAAUCAAUACAUCAGAUCCUGCUUUAUGGCCAGCAAUCCUAAACUCUGCCAAUUUUGAUCGUACAAUGUUGAACUGGCUGGGCAAAAUUGAGGAUACGACACUUACAGUAAAUGAGAAGAAGCAACACUUCUCAAAGUCAUGCAGUGAAAGAGUGCUUAAUAAUAGUGAGAAAUUGAAUUGGCAUUGGCUAGUUUAUUCAAAAUUAACUGAUAAAGUCUUCUGUUUUUAUUGCAAAAUAUUUGACAAGAAUGCCAAAAUACUUGCUUGCGCUUUCUGGGCACAAUUACUGGCAUAAUUUAGCUGAUGCUCUGAAGUAACAUGAAAAGUUACCAGGCCAUAAAAUGGCCUGGAGAUCGAGUCCAGGCUCAAGCUGAAUAAAUGCAUAGAUGCAGAAAAACAGCUCAUUAUUAAUGUAGAAACCCAGCAUUGGAGGAAUGUGCUCAAGCAUCUGAUCUCAAUCACCCUCCUCCUUGCAAAGAGCAAUUUGGCUUUCUAGGGCUCAUCGGAUAAGUUGUUCACUGAACAUAAUGGUAAUUUCCUUGGUUUGGUAGAGCUCCUUGGGAAAGAUGAGGAUGUCAUAUUGCGUGAGCCCCAGUGCUGAGUAGUUUGUAAAGAAGCUAUGGACCAUUACUGCAGCAAAACAAUUCAAAAUGUAUUGAUUGACCUUAUGGCAAGGAAGGUGCUUGAUAACAUAUUGAUAUAGCUCAGAAAAGCAAAGUACUAUGCCAUAAUAAUAGACUGCACUCCCGACAUUAGUCACAGUGAAAAGAUAUCAUUUACAGUAAGAUUUGUUGAUGAGGAGGAUGGCUGUAUCCAAGUAAAGGAACACUUUAUCUGUUUCCGGUCUGUGGAUGACUCUACUGGAAAAGGCCUAACAGAACUGUUGAUUAAUGUUUUGAAUGAGAAUAAAAUAAAGCUUCAGGGCUGACGUGGCCAAGGCUAAAACAAUGGUGCAAACAUGAAGGGAAGAAACAGUGGUGUCCAGGCAAGUAUCCUUGCACUGAAUCCAAGAGCUUUCUUCGUGCUUUGUGACUGCCAUUCCCUCAACCUGGUUGUGUCAGAUGCAGCAUCAUCUUUAGAUUCAGUACAUCUCUUUGGAGUACUGCGAAGGAUAUACGUCUUGUUUUCAGCAUCAGCUAUCUGGUGGAAGAUCCUCAUGGACAAUGUUACAAAUCCUACCAUGACACCACUAAGAGACACUUGCUGGGAGAGCCACAUUGACAGCGUAAGGCCAGUGAGGUAACAAGUGACUGAGGUUUAUGAUGCCCUGAUGGAACUGGCUCAGUUGAGUAAAGCCUAGGCCGGAAUCCGACACGAGGCUCAAAGCCUGGCAAACCAGAUCACUGACUUGAAAUUUCUGGUCUCAAUUUUGUGGUUUGGCACAAUAUCCUGUUACAAGUAAACAUUGUAAGCAAGGCAUUACAAACUCAGUCAAUGGACAUCACGGCCACUACAACUUUGAGAAUCUGCCUUGAUUUCGUUGUGGCCUACAGAGACAAUGGAGUUGAAGAUGCCAUCACUGCUGCCAAAAAAAUGGCAGAAAACUUAGGAGUUGAGCCUGUCUUCAAGGAAACUUGUAUUCAUCAGAAGAAGAGACAGUUUGGUUAUGAAGGCAGAGAUGAGAUGAUGGGAAGCUCGGAAAAAAAAUUCAGGAGGGACGGUUUUUUGCUUGCUCAUUGACACUGCUCCAGUCCAUCAAAAACAGUUUGGAUAAAUGAAGCACCAUGAAAAGACCUGGGGGGUUUUGUAUGACCUUAGUAAGCUGCCAGUAGACAGAAAAAUACACUUGAACAAUUGUACGGACCUCCACCGGAUGCUGACACCUGGGGAAUGUUCAGAUGUCAAUUAUAAAGACCUCUACUUGUUGAACUGGACAAAAUCCAUCACAUUUUGUCACACAGGAAGCACUCUUCACUCCAAGUUCUCCAAUUCAUUCAUGAUGCAGAGAUGAAGGACACUUUUCCUAAUGUGUGGAUAGCUUUGAGGAUUCUGUUCAUACUGCUGAUCACUGUCGUGAAUGGUGAGCGCAGAUUUUUGAAGC